CGUUCAACAUUUUCUAUAAUUAGAAAUUCAAUAAUGAAUCACUUAUUCCUUUGCUUUUUUUUUUCUUUUUAAUUAUUCUGCAAAUAUAUUUUGUUAUUGCCAUGUUUGCCUGUCUCGUGAUCGGUAGACCAGGCUCUAAGAGAUAAUCGUACAAAAAAUCCGCGAUAAUGACUUGGUAUGAAAUCUUUAUCAAAACGAAACGUUUUGGAGUUGUUUUGAUGCAUCGAAGAAAGGCGGAACGAUGAACUCUGUAAACAGAGUCUCGUUGCGUAAGCUCGAUUGCUCUAUAGGAAAGGAAGAACAAUUUCAUGGAAAACGUAGCUUAUUUCGUGGCAACGACGAUACGCGAUAUCUUGCAAUGCGUUUGUCUUAUUUGCGUCAGUCGAGAAGUUCGCGUUAAUUUUUCUCUCUUUCUUUUUGCUUUUGCGUUUCGAGACAUUUUGGUAAAUAUCAUAAAUUGUCGUGGCAUAUAAAAAUAAUUGAAACAUCGAUUCCUCGUCGGCGGAACAAAGAUCAAUAUAUGUCUAGAAACUUAGAUUAGAAAAUAAUGCGUCGCGUUUGUAGAGAAAAUUUAUUUCUUCUCAUUUAAUCUCUUAUGUUUCGAUAAAUCUCGUGUAUUUACGAAAUAUGUGAAAAUGGUUGUAAUAUGGAUUCUUCAUUGAUGAAACGGAAAUCAUUUAGAGUGUUAAAUUAUCAUAGAUUAGAAAGGUAUGCGGUCGAGUCAUUGGAAAAAGCAUUUUGUAGUAGUAUCGAGUUUUAGGAAGCUAUAAGUAGGUCGUAGAUCAACCUUCCUACAUACAUAUAUUAUACUUGCUUACGUGUAUGCGUUUCCUUGCUACUUCGAUCGUGUGGGCACGAGCCUGGCAAAAUUGAUACGUUUUAUCAAUUCUGGCAAGGCGUUGGCCUCAUAUCGCCAUGGAACAGACGCUUUUCAUAUUCCAGUUACGUGCACGUCUCUUGGAAAAUUUGAUUUAUCGGUUGAUCGAUAGAAUAUAAUUUUAACCAAACUUGUUGUUUAUAAUAGUCGUGAUGGUAAAAACCGAGAUUCUCGACUACAACCAAAAAUAACAUCUUUACACACGAUUUAAGGAGUGGUCGAUCGAUAGCGAUUGUUUCAAAGAAAUCGACUUAUUGCGCCGUGUAUUAUCUGUGAAACGUCAUUCAAUCGAUCGUAUUGUUUACGUAGCUUGUAGACUUAGUAACCUAAAUAACAAAUGUGUAUCAGUAUUGAUAAUACUAAUUCCACGUCUAAUUGUAUACAUUGCAUCAAGUACAAUAAGGCUGUGCUUGAGUUUCUCUUCGCAGCCGAGCCGCAAUUGUUUAAUUAUUUAAUUUUCAAUUAAAGCGGCGCUGCUUAAUCACCAUGGCGUUGAGUUGACGAAGAGUAAUUCAGAAUACGGAAGAAAGAGACUGAGAUACGUCUGGGUAAAUUUGUUUAGCCGAAGCAACGGCUUUAAUGGAUUCCAAAAGUAUCUUUCGGUUAAAAGUGGCUGACAUUUACUCCUGCAGGUAUUGACUCUGAUGAAUAAACCGUGGAUUUUUAUAUAUUUCUGGGUUUCAAAGGGCAAAUAUGCACAUAAGAAGGUACACGUCUUCUUUCGUAAUAUGCAAAAAUGCAUAAAUUAUUCAAAGUAUCGUGCUCUAUCUAAUAUUUUAUAGAUAAAAGAAUUCUCUGUACAUUCGGUAAAGUGUACCGACAGAGGAGAUUGUGUUUUACUGUCUCCCCUGUUUGAUCAAGAAUAUAAAUAUUUGUGAUAAAGUAGUGGUCGGUUAACAGAGGUAGGAUUUGACCAGCAUUUACGUCAUCCGCGAUAUCGCAUUUCCAUCGAACAAUAACUUGAUCUCAUUGCUCAAUUGGAUUAAAUUUGUCUCGUAUUCGUUGAGUGAUUUUACUAGAUUGCAUAUAUAUACAUCACGUAUACUAGUAAGUUUCAUAAUCGGCGCACAAGAUUGUUCGAUCUGUCAACGAUAUUAGAAUUUUAACCAGAAAUUUCUAUUAUUACAAAUGAAAAUUUAAUAGAAAUAAGUUAUUUGCCAGGUUUAUAAUACUUUCACAUGCUCGUAGAUUCUAUGUCAGAAUAUGGAUAGAUUCUUCCAGUAUUUGAAUAAUUCCUUUCCUUUUUCCUUUUAAAAAUUCUUCAAAUUUUAAAACCUGAGUUUUGACUAUCAGCAAGGUUAGUCGAUAAUAAGAGCAUUUCUGUUGAAAUUUUUCAAAUGUCAGGUUUUCCAUUACAGGAAAUUGCAUUUCUUUCUAAUUGGAUAGAUCGGUGAGCAGCUGAUAUACUGGCAAGAUAACAAAUUGCCGUGAAAUCACCUAUUGGUUUUAUCAGCACCGAGCAGGCUGAACAAGAUAGAGGGUAUUUUUUUAUGAGAGUUCUCUAUGAUCGAAAUUGGUCAAAACAAACUGGUUUUCGUUGAGUUAUCUGUUCACGCAAAAAUCCGUGGAAUGAACCAUAAAAUCGUCCCUUUCGAUAUCUAUAUCAGUAUCAUUAUCAUUUAAUUGUAACAUCAAAUAACAUUUAAGCUGUACAAUACCUCGUGGAGAUUAUUCUUAAAUCAAUUACUAGGAAUAUUACCUUUUAUUGCUUUCGUGGAUUAAUUAAGGAACAUUAUCGAAAAGGGAUUAGCAGGAUUAUGAUAUACAAACAAAAUAAUUUUUCAUUCAUUACUUUUAUGAAACUGUUAUUUAUCUUACAAACGUGAAAGGAAUAAAAUUUGUUAAGAGCCUCGUAAGCUAGUUAUAACGUUCAUACAGAGGAUGAAAGGUUUCUUUGUAAAUUGUAUCUUGUUCAUUACGUUUACAUAAAUAUAAAUUUGCAUAAAUAUCAGGAUAUUCCACGUUAUCUAACAAAUAUAAAUUCAAUAGUAGCUAAUGUUAAAAGAAAAGCUAAAACCGAAACCUAACGCAAUUUAUUACUCGGUUAAUUAUUUUGUUUUAUAUGCCUUUCCCAGAAAAUUCCUUAAAUUGAGUUUCCAUAAAUAUCGAGAAACGAUGUGUUGCGUCUUUUAAGAAUAACAAUUUUCAAACAUUGCAAGUACUCGCUUGUUUGGCAAUAUUAUCUUUCUCUUUCCGGUUCAUGUGUCUGCGAUGUUGAAAAACUUUCCAAUUAUCAACCUCUUUCGCGUUUUUUUCUUUUUUAGUAUGAGAUCGCAUUAAUUAGGAAAGAACCAGACGAUCGAAAAAACCUUCUGCCAGACAAAACACGUGAAUCGUAGUUAGAAAAAAUAAUCGCUACGUGUUUUGGUAAAAGUACUUUCUUCGAGACUCGUUCAGUUCCAGAUAAACAAAGAAUGCUGGAAGUUUCAUUCAGCCGAUAACGCGACCCAGACAAAGGAGAAAAAACGUGCCUAAUUGAUACAAUAUUGCGAAAUCGGAUCGACAUGUUUUGAAAGCAAACAGAACGUGAACAACAACGCGAAAGAAUGGAGAUUGUUUACAUAUUUCGUGCGAUUAUAUAUUUCGCAGACGGACUCUGUACGUCGUUCUUAUGCAUGUCAUUAACGAAACAGCGCUUCACCUUGCGUACAGAGGUGCACAGUCCAUUGGCCGAUUUGCCAAGGAGUUCAUCGCGAUUGUUCGCAAGGUCAGACACCGCAUCGAACUGCAGCGAAGCAUGCAAUGUCUCUCAAUGGAUCGUUCUCUGUACAUUCGAGAACGUCAUACGUUUUCUAUAGCAGUUCAAUCGAAUCAUUGAGAACCUACACGGACAUUUUAAAGGAAAGAAGACGACAAGUGCAGCUGUAUAAUACAGAAAUGACAAUGGUGAUUCUACGAUUGACGGCGUUCCUUAUUUCAAAUGUCAAUGUGAUCGAUUCUCUUUGCUUGGUAGCUAAUUCAUAAAUGAAACCUAUCGAAUAAGUUACCGUUCAAGGAGCAAACCUAAUCAGUAGAUUGCAAGCAUAUUCAUGUAACAGGCCGUAAUAAACUUCGACAAACGAUAAAAAAAGAAUGAAAUACGACCAUUUGUUAAGUUCUUAACGAACAGUAUGCCAUAAUCCAAUGCACGUGACACAAUUCUUCCUUGAGUGAAAAGUGAAUUAACUUCUGUUCGACAGCGAACAGCUUGACCCAUAUGCGCCGUAUCAUUGAGAAUCUUUAGCGAAUUGAAGAACAGGUAACGAAGAAGCGAAUGAAGCUUAACCCAGUCGCCUGGAGUAAAUCGCGUAAUUAGUAGCUUUGAUCAAAUGAGAGUGCGAUGGAUUCUCAAGCUUCCAAAGGAGUCUUUUAUUUCACGGAGCUCUGCGAGAAUUAAAAGGAUUAUAUUCAAUUAUCGUUUCUUUUAAUAGAACCGCAUUGCUUUAUCGAAUACGGAAAUAUUGCGCGAAAGUAUUUCUAUAAUUUUUUACCUCAUGAUUACCAGAUGAUACAACGCUCGUUUUAAAAGUAUAUCAAGCUCUGUCCUCGAUUCAUAAACUAUGGAUGUUUAUUCAUUUAUGAAAAAGUUAAGAUUCCAGAAAUAUAAGGAUGUACACAGUAAAGUGUUGAAAACGUACGCAGUACAUAUUUUGCAGAGACAUAUUUCAUGCACAGUUUAUAUUUAGUAUUCGUUACGAUAUUUAGAUAAAAUAAAUCAUUAUUUGUAUACUAUUUCUUUAACUACAUCCUUAUCAUAACGAUACGCAUUUUCAUAAGAAAUGCUAUUAAUAUCUAUCUUCUAUCGAUAAGGUUCUCCUAUUUUAAUUCCAAUGAAGUAGAUCCCGAUGUACCAGGCUAGACACACGAGUAUUCCCUCCAGAACUUAAUAUCUCGCAUCGUCCCGUGUCUUUUCUGUAUCUCUGAUUACAUUUGCCAAUUUUCUACGAUUAUUAUUAGAAAAAUGAAUCUGUCUAUUGAUUUACUGUGAUAUUAAUUACUUUAUUGACUACCUAUAAAAAUCGAUCGCGCGAGUGUUUACUUUUUUAAAGAGUAUUUCUAUUUGCUAAAAGCCAAAAAGAAGAUAUGAUAUAGCGUACUAACUAAUUUUCCAAUUUUCAGAUAAUCUUUAAAGGCUUUUAGCGUUAGAGAUAUAAUAUAAAAGUUACAUUGACAUUUACAAAAGAGCAUAUAUACAUGUGUAUGACUUUUACACAGAAGCAAUAACGCAGUAUGUGAUACAGGCAACGAUAAACGUAAAUGAUGACGCAUCGUGGCCAUGUUUCAAUAUAACACGUUGCUACAAAGUCUCUCUGUCCAGACUCGUACGCAUCGAUCCGCCUUUCUAAUAAUUUUAUUUACAUUCGUUCAUUGUUUUUCUGAGAAUCAGAACGAAGCAACGGGAUAUCGAGAAACAGACAUUCCCGAUGAAAAGAGCCAGCUUUCAAACCAAUCGCACUGACGCCCUUCAUCCGAGGAACAUGAAUUGAAUCGCUGUAAAUCAUUCAGCCUACAAACGAAGAUAGAAACGAUUUUCUCCACCCGUUAUCUAUCUGCGGACCGAUAUUUCCAUUUCCGCGGAGAACGAAUUUGCACAUGUACUCUAAUUCACGAAGUCAUUCGAACGCUUCGGAUUUACCGUAUUGAGUCGCGACUGUCAUAAUUAUAUCGGUAAAAAUAGUCAGUCUACAGGUGUAUGUGUAAUAUAUUUAAUCAAAAAUAACUUCAUUAAAUAUCUUAUAUUUUCCACGUAUAGUUUCAGAUUUGUUUCAAGAAUUUUACUGAUAGGAUACGAAUAGUGUACAAAAAUAUUGAUAUAAUAUAUUUUUUGCAUAUUUUAUAGACUGUUGAAAUAUUAUUGAACUUAUACUGAGUAUUGUAUCCGAAAAGUGCAGUAAAUUACUAAUUAUACAAAAAUAGAUAAAAUACCGAAAGUAUUAAAAUUUCACUGAAAUAUAAAUUUGCUUACAAACUCGUCGUCUAAUCAUGAUACUGCGGUUAUUUUUCGCAUAACAUAUGUACACACAAUAUAUUCAUGGAAUCUUUUUAUCCGUUUUCGAAUAAUUUCGUGAGUCAUUGUAGUUAUGGUAGAAAACUCGUUUCAUUUCAGAUAAUUGGCCGUUUAAUGUCCACAGGAUAAAACUGAACAGGAAACGUUACAUAAGAUAGAAAACGAGCUUGCAACGUGCUGCUGAACACGCUUCGAGAACGUAAUUAUUGUUGAUUAACAGCAUUAACUCUGAUGUUAACACUACACACACGCCUUAUGUAACACGAGAAAGAUGAAAUUAAACGUUCUCGCUUUUAUUGGAAAACUCGAUGUGACGAAGUGGAAAAUGACUUUGCGACCAGGAGGUCGAGGUUCAAACGACGACAACGAAUAUAUGUAUAGACAUCGAUCGAUCGAUCCUGUGGGGAUCGAGCAUUAGAAUUAAAAGACGCAAGCUUUUUCAAUUCAAAGAAACAACUACCAUUAUAAACUUGUUAACUGGCUUCAGAAACAGUAUCUACGUCAUAUCUCGACUGUUUGUGCUAUUUUAAAUCAAUUUCCUUCGGCGACUCGAAGUUCUCAUUUUCGUUCUAAUCUUCUUCCAAUUAUCUUGAUUCUCGACUUUCAAGAUAUCCCAAGAGUCACAUUACGCCGGAUUUAACAAAUAUACGCAAAACCUGUUUAUAAAUACAUCCGUACAUUCGAUUUAGGACGUUGCUUCAUUAUUUUAUUAUUUGAAAUCAGAUUUAAUCACUUGUUUAUUUAUUCUGAUUCCGUGACAGUAGAUGCUUUAUUCUGGUCUAGUUUACUUCACGAAUCGAACGAGGUAGGUACUUUCGUAAAAAUAGAUUUAUUUCCGGCGGACGUUAUAGGCCAGUAUCGUAUAACGGCGACGCAUUAAUAAAAUUGGAGGACGCGAAGUAGCGUUCGAUUUAUGUACACGCGAGAGUGUAAGGAACAUUUUCUCGAUGAUAAUGAAAGUGCAAACAUGAUAAAAAGUGGCCUACGAGAAAGCUAUCUUAUCCAUCCCAACGCAUAUGUUAAUCCCGAUGAACUUGACCAUCGAUGGUUACCGAAAUUUCAUCGACAAAGACCUUCAAGAAUAUUUGAUAAUUCCCUCGAGUUGCUCAAACUAUCGCAGGGAAAAUAGAAACGUACAGGUUUCUUUUUCAUCUGGAAAAUCACGUGUUACGAAAUAUUUUUAGGACGAUCGACAAAACUGAUUUCGAUGGUUCUACGAAAGUCGACAGCUUGAACGGUCGCUUAAUGUGGAACUCGCAAAGCCUAUAUCGUUGUCAUGUUCUCGAAUACCAAAGGUUGCGUCGCUUCUUUUCGCAAAAUAUCGCCGAGUAUUUCAUGCCUGCUGAUAACUCCAAGCGAAAUAAAAAUUUAUCGAAAAAAUUUUAAUUGCCAAUUACGCGUUGCGUCACGUUGUAACAUGCCAUGAUAUCUGAUACUUACGUGUAAACAAUCCACGUGUCGAGGGAUUAUAUAAGCAUAAUGGAUAAAUCGUUGUUUGGUAACAACAGAGAAAGUUUGUCUUAUCGUCGGAAAAUAAAUAAAAAAAAUCUCUCCGUAUUCUUUUCAUUGUAUGUAUGUGGAAAUACAUUUCUGUCAUAUAAGGUUGCAUAGAAAUAUAUCUUCUAUUACUUUUAUAUUUUUUUUUUCAAGUAAUAAUUUGAAAUUGAAAUUGAUGGAUGUUUCUAAGUAGUCCGGAAGAGAGAAAACACCUAUUUUCUCAAGGCUAGCCGUCCGUUUAAUAGUCGGAUUUCAAGGAAUGGAUGAACGAUACUUUUACCAGUGCAAACCAGUCUCGGAGUAAAAACUCGGCCAGACUGCAGUCCCAGUUACUCCUCCCGCGGAGAACUUGGAGCAUUGGAACUGGAAGCAUUCUAAUCAUUUUUUCGAGCGAUGCAUCUCCCAUAUGGGAAUUGUGAGUGCAAUGGUUCACCAUUGUAUGUAAAUUAACAAGUGUCUCGUAAUUUUCCGCUCGUUUCAAAACAAUUGUCUACUUCAACUCACGAUAUUUACCAGCAAUCUAACGUGAACACAUUUGCAACUUGAAUUUAACCUGUUGAUCGAGUCGCUUAUUAACGAGAAAUUACUACAGCAAUAGAACUGAACCUAACACGUAACGUUGAUACUUAAUAAUGACAAAUUAAUUUCCGUCAAGUCCAUUUUAAUUCUUGCGAAUGUAAAAUAUUGAUCAAAAAGAAGAAACAAAAAAAAAAAAUGGAUUUCAAUUGCGAUAUGUUGAAAGGAAAAUUUUUUAAUUGCAUUAAUUCUUAAUUUGAUAUAUUUAAUUCAAAAAGUUUUUAAUAUUUUCAUUCAAUGUAUUCUUGUCUCCUAAUUUUACAUCUCAGUAGCGUCCUACGUAACUCAUAUUUUCCUGUUAACAAAGAAACAAUUACCGAGGAAUUUAUUAGCUUAAUUUCAACGAAUUGGAAGUAAAUUAUUCAGCAAAUCAACGAGAAAAAUACUAUUGUUGGUAGGAAAACAAUUGUUACUCAUCGGCUAUCGGUAUUUUUUUACUGUACGUGUUGUACGUAUUAAGCACUGUCCCAUAGGUAGUUCUAGAACGGUCGACGAGCAUCUAUGAUCGGUCAGAGGAAGCGGCUGUUUAGUUUUAAAAGUUUCAAUCUCAAUGUGCAACAGUAGGCACGUAGAUACACGCGCUUCAUAGGGCAACGCGCAUCCCGUGACUUACGCCGGCUGCAUACAUACAGAAAACACGUUCGCUAAAUGAAUUAGAUAACGCUUGGUAAAUGUCGAAUUAAUGUCAAUUUAUUUUACGGGCAAUUAACAACAAGAAAGGAAUACCGCGAAUUUACAACGUUGGGCAAUCAACGUCUCGAUUCGAGUGAAAGGAACCAAAAGCACGACGAAUAAAUUGAAAAUAUUAUGAAAUCGAAGCAACUUGUUAUUGCUUUAGAUGGAGGCCGUCGAUAACAGAAAUUCUUGCUACUUGUUUGGCGUUCAUAACGUUUAACCAUUGCUGUUCUACAGAACAAAAAGAUCGAUAGAAAGGCAAAUAUCAAGUGGUAACAUAGGAAAUGUUGAAUUUUUAAUAACUCUCACUUUACAGAAUCCUAAAAGGAAUGCGUUUAUGCACGCUUAUAUGAAUAAACAAAAGAGCUAUAUUAUGAAAGAGAAAAUUCUCAGCUUGAAAAUUUACCAAAGGAAAAAGAAUAGAUACCAACGAGAACGAAUAUUUUAUAUGUUACGACUUAAACUCGCGCCGAAAAAUUGUGUAUUCUCUUUUGCACCAUAUCGUUAAUGGGUCUACAUUAUUAUUUACUCAAGAGUACAAAUGGUAGCAGCAGGCAAAUAGUGGACAGAAAAUAAGAGUGUGAUUAAAAUUACAAAUAAUUUCUAGAAAGUCGAUUUUCAGAGACCACGACUUAACACUCCGCUUGCAACCUUAUUUUUACUUACGUCAAUUGCAAACUGGGUCGUUUAAGUACACGCAGGUUUCGUUAGGUUUUUGUAUUUCUAUAUCUAUGAUCAUCCAACAGCCUUUGCCGCAACAUGUUACCUUAAUUAUUUUAAACACAGUAAAAUUGAAACAAAGAUAUGAAGAAAAUGAAAAAUUACUUAAAAUUGCUGGUGAAAAACGAUACGAUAUGCAGAUGGAAGAUUGACGAAGCCCUCAAGCUCUCGCAAACUUUCUUCGUGGCAUAUUCUCAAGUUUGAAACAAAGAGCAUGACCCUAUUGUUAAAUUAAAAACUUCGGCAUCGAAUAAAGUCGACAGAAGAAAGAGACGGUAAGUAAUUUCCAAGUUCGAUAAUCAAUUUCAUAUUAUUAAGUAACUAAAUAUAUAUCUUUGCAUCUUGUUGCACAUUUCAUAAUAAUACCAGAUAUAUCCUUAACUGUUGGCAAAAUUUCAUAGCUUCAUCGCUUAUUUACAAGAGUUAUUAUAUCUUUCAACGUGUAAACAAUUAUAAUGACAAGCUUUCAGGAAAUUUGUAUGGAAUUACGAACAAUUUCAGGGUAAAAAAUAGUAACAGGGUUGGUCUACGUGAAAAUUGCGCUGGCGCGAAUUUAAAGCGGAAUGUAUUGAAAGUUCAAAUUCCAAAGGUUUUCGCGCCCACGUUGAUCGAAUGACGUGAAAAAGUGGCAGAAUUCCAGCGUUCCAUUCGUACUACCAAUGUAUACGUUACUCUAUUUUCGUGAAAGUCACCAGAAACCAUUGACAGUGACCGAAUUCGAUGUAAGAAUUGCAAGUUAAUUGGUCAACUUUGACUUUUCGUAGAAUGCAACCUGUUCAAAAUCCACAAUCGACGAUCUACAGCGUAGACACGUUACGAAAUCAUCAAGAUACUAUGCUUUAUCCUCUUUUUAAUUUUGUAUAAAUGCAAUUUGUUAUUAAUUCGUUCAUUAAUUUGCACAUCUUGAAUAAAUUCAAAUAUAUAUAUAUAUAUAUAUAUAUAUAUAUAUAUAUAUAUAUAUAUACAGUUAUAGUUGUCGUUUGCGAAUAGUGUACAAAAUGCGAAAUACAAGCACAAUAACUAGUUUGUUCGUGCCAUUGAUGAUAAUUUGAGGAAUUACAACGCGUUAUUCAUGGAUCAAAAGACCCAUAAAUUGUUUGCCACGUCCUGAAAAGCGGCUUAAGCAGCUUCCACGUGAAAGAAGACACUCUGACAGAAAGUACCUCUGUUUAGAGUACCACUUUGCUAUACAGUAGAGUUAAAGCGAUCUAUGUGAACCAGAUUCGCCAAGGUCUGAUCUUAGCGCAACACUCAAAAGGCAAACACCGCGACAAUAUUUAUUCUGACUGAAGAUUCCCGUUAUCAGCGAGUCAGGGUUUAAUUUUUAUUCGAUAUUGGCCAAACUUAUUUUCAUCAGAAAACGAUAGAUACGAGCAGGCGCGUGACUGAAUA